AGUGCAGUGGCGACUCUGUAACUGUGCAAAAUACCUCGCGUUAUCACUGUAACUCAAACAUUAUUUUUUAAUUUUUUAUUAUUAUUUUUUUAAUUGUUUUACUUUUGUCACGUGAGUAGCAAUUCUUAUUUGUUGUCUUCUCAAACACAGGUUGAGUUUCCUUAACUGCGCCGCUAGCGGCUGGUGAAAGUUAGCAACUUCAUGUGGUCAGAAAGUCAACAAACAAACAAAAAGUAUUAUCAGACAGUUGAAUGCCACUGCGAGACAGUGAACACGUGGAUGGAAAAUAAACCCUUCAGUGAACUGUGAGGCCGGUCAUAGUCUGGUUUUCACAGCAAAACAAUUGUAGUUUACCGUGUUGCUGUUGCUAAGGACUUCAGCUACGUCUUAGCUAGCUGGCAGUGAUGGAGAGACAACCACAGCAACAAGUGCAGUUCACCACCACGUCACCCACUGAAAGGAGCUGCGAAUAAUGCUGCUGUGCUAACUAGGGGUCAUCAGCAGGGCACAGCUUGGGAGAUGGACUGUGCUGUGUGUUGGAGUCCAGUGGCGAGAGUGGGGACAGAGUAAUUGGUAAUUCUGGGUUGUGCUUAAAGGGCAGCCAAGGUCUUGCUGACAUACAGAGCCACAGAACAAACAUGGAUAUACCUGAAGACAAUGACCUUUGAACUCCCAGCGGGAGAGGUGGAAAAAACAGGAAGUGGUGAAAGUGACUCCAGAGGACUUCCUUUCUGCAGGCCAAGAAUGAAUCAGGUGGAAUGAUUGGUCAGCUGUUGGGCCUUUGUUCCAGAGGCAUUGUGGGGGAUUAUCCAGUGUGGCCGUUCAUUCGCUCGGCUGUCCGGUAAAUGGGGCCAAUCGCGUGGCUCACAAUCCUUCAUACAUAUUUCAUAGGGCUUUUUAACAACUUCUCAGCAGAGCCCAAAAUUAAAGGACAGAUGUACAAAGAGAGGGAGGAAGGGAGGAAGGGAGGGAGAGAAGCAGGGAAAAAAAAUAGUAUAGAGAGAAAUGGAUGAACGAUUGUGCGUGUGUAUGUGUGUGGAACGACGCCUGGAAAAGGGAAACAAGGUGACAGAAAGUCCAUGCUUUGCCGGCUAAAUUUAAAAACCGCAACUUUGGUCUUUGGUCCACACUACACUGGAGUUUUUCUCACCUGAAAUCAGCUUUUGGCAAACAGAGCUGUUAGGGAAAUGAUGACUAAUAAGCCCGCUCAGUCAUGGUCAGCUGCUGCGUGGCAGUAAAUUUAAGAAGACUUUCUGUCAUUUCCAACUUUAUCUGUGAUCAUUUAUUUUUAAUGUCUGUAUAGAUAAUCAAAUGGCACAGCUGUUGUCAUUAAUCUGCAUUUGUGUUUAUUUUGGAUGUCACCAUCAUGACAGAGAUUUCAUCUGUGUGCUCACACAGGAAACACUGUUCAAACAUUGCAUUUUCAGAGUCUGAAUGAAAGAUGACUAGCCCGACCGAGGUUGACCUCUUCACACACUUUCUGCUGAUAAAAUCAUAUGGCCUUCUGCAGAAUAAAAGAUUUUGUUCAGAGAGGAGGUGCGAGUGUGUGUGUGUGUGUUGCGGGGGGUCCAAAAAAAAAAAAAAAAAGCUUUCAUGAAAAGGGAUAUUAUUGUUGCUCUACCCCUGUGUAACACAAUAUGAAAGGAGGAAGACAGAGAGGGGGGAAAGGGAGAAAAGAAUCAGCAAAAGGAGAAAAAGCUGGCCUCUAAUACGCACACGUUUCCCUAACCUUUGCAUUGUGCUGUGUGUUGGGUAAAUGCCAAUCAGAGAGGAAGGAAGGAAUAAAGAAAUAGAGGGACUUCUCUGACAAGAGGCAGCGAUGAGGCAGUUAAUCACUCUUAUUCACCGACUCCCCCCUCCUCUCUCCCCUCCACAACUCUCUCCCCCAUUCUCUCCAUCUCCCUCUCUCGUGACAGGUUGCUUUGAGACAGAAGGAUAAGCUCUUUUUCAGAGAGAGGGAAUCGGAUUUCCUGCUUUUUGAUGAGAUAAUAAAAUAUGACGGAGGACAAUAGGAGCCUGUGGACGGCUUGCUGGGAGCUAUUCACUCCAGCAGCGGCCCCUGUCUUAAGACUGCUUAGACAAACGUUUAAAAAGGUAGCCAGAGGCCCAAGCCCUCAAAUAAAGGCUACUGUUACACACACUGUGCGCAUGUGCAUGUGUGUGUGUGUGUGUGUUUUUGGAAAAAGCCUGAGAAAUCUCUUCUCUCUCGGUGACUCAGGGUUGGCUGUUUGUUUGGCCAAUGUGUUUCUCCCCCUUGCUUUUGGGAACUGUCAGGAGAUGUAUUGCACCUUCUAUUUGCACAGCGUUGGCCAAACAAGACAAGACCCUGGAAGAUAAGGCUGUGUGUGUGUGUGUGUGUAAGUGAGCGUGUGUGCUAGUGAGCCUGUAGCCUUGAAGGAUGAAAUGCAGGGACACAACAGGAGCCCCCGUUGCCAGCCAGGUUAAUUCCUAACCCCAGAUCAGCCUGGGAAUACCAACACUUCCCAUGCUUUUCCGUCAUUGUAUUUGUUUGUGUGAGUGUGUGUGUGUGUGUGGGACAGGAAACGUAUGUGCCGACUGCCAUAUAUGGGCUAAUCUGGCAUUGAUGUGUAGUGAUACAGUCACCGUAUCUUAAGAAUAUUCUGCUGACAGGCAAACACACAUUUAAAAACAAGAGUUGAAACUGAAGUUGAGCAGGCCUGUGACAUUUCAGUGAGUCAAGCCAGAGUUUUCCAAACCUCGGACACACACACUCGCACACAGACCCCUGUGCCUCACGUAUCUGCUGUGAUCAAUAAUCUACAAAGGCCUUGAUAAGCCCUUGGCCUACACUGUCACUUUGGACAAACACAACCCAUGUCCCCUUUCUUCCUACCCCUCAGUACGCUUGUCCCCAACCCCCUCCCCCACUGAUAAGACUGUGCCAUGGCUGAAGAGUCCAAACAACUAGCAAGGAAAGGGUUAGAAGAAGUCAUUUCUUUCCCAAGUGCUUCAUUUUCUUAAUUUUCCUAAACCUUCCACCCUCCAUGCAUUCCCCCUCAAAUCUUCAAAUCUCUUACUCAUGAAGAGUUCAUUUUUCUGCUUACACGACUACUGGGACGGGAAACAGGCCUCAAAGCUGAGCAAACACAAGCCACCCUCUCUCCACUGAUAGCCUUGAGAACAUGGAGCCUUGAGGGGCUGUUGUGUAUACGUGUGUGUGUGUGUGUGUGUGUGUCUUGUCUGGUUUGUUGUACGUAUGUUAGCAUAAGCACUAGCGUCACAUGGGCUCUUCUCAAGGUGCACCUCCGCUAGGGAGUCAAGGACAGGACAGGGUCAAAGACACUGAUGAAGUCUCUCUCCUAUCACAUCUUCCUCGCUCCUCCCUCCAUCUUUACUUGCCUCAACCCCCCACCUCAACACACACACACACACAGGCUGAGAAAUCAUAUCAUAUCAGGGCCUCUGUGACACGUCUUUCCUGCCCUCUUACCGUUCCAUCUCUUUCCCUCGCUUUAUAGAAAUUGGGGGCUGUGGCGAGGGUGCUAGCUUUAGAUCAAGCCAAACAACAGACACAGACCACAGACAGAAAAAUCAUCUGUACUCAGAAGAAUUGAAAACAGCAGGGGAGGCCAGAAAUCACUGUUCAAGCCCUUGUUUAGAGACUUAAAAAUUCAUCGUCUGAGCUUUUAUGGCGGACAUAGGCUGAAAGAAAGCAAUCUAAACGAAGGGGGGUCAUGGAGCGCUGUAACGGGGCCUCCGGAGGUCAGGAAGUCAACCCGGCUCAGUGAGACCGAGAGAGCAGGAGGCAGAAGGGAAAGAAAGGAGCAAGGGAGUCUGGAAGAUAGGAACAGGACAUCUGGAGAGGAGGAGAAACAGAGGGAGGGAGGGAGAGGAAGAAUAGAAGGGUAGGAGGAAGGAGGGUGCGGGUGUGGGCGGGCAAACAAUAAAGGAUGGAGGGCAAGGAGCUGCAGCGAAGGAGGGAGGAUGGAAGAUGGAUGGACGGAUGGAAGGAGAAAGCAAGGAAGGGCAAGUGAGAGAACAAGAUGGCAGGAGAAGAAAGAAAAAUAAUAAACUGCAGAUUGGAUUGAAGGAGGGAGAGCUUGGCAUCGGCAGGGGAAAUGAGUAGUGUG